rnacentral:rRNA from 1 species
UAGGGAAUCUUCGGCAAUGGACGGAAGUCUGACCGAGCAACGCCGCGUGAGUGAAGAAGGUUUUCGGAUCGUAAAGCUCUGUUGUUAGAGAAGAACGUUGGUAGGAGUGGAAAAUCUACCAAGUGACGGUAACUAACCAGAAAGGGACGGCUAACUACGUGCCAGCAGCCGCGGUAAUACGUAGGUCCCGAGCGUUGUCCGGAUUUAUUGGGCGUAAAGCGAGCGCAGGCGGUUCUUUAAGUCUGAAGUUAAAGGCAGUGGCUUAACCAUUGUACGCUUUGGAAACUGGAUGACUUGAGUGCAGAAGGGGAGAGUGAAAUUCCAUGUGUAGCGGUGAAAUGCGUAGAUAUAUGGAGGAACCCCGGUGGCGAAAGCGGCUCUCUGGUCUGUAACUGACGCUGAGGCUCGAAAGCGUGGGGAGCAAACAGG